UGGGGAAUAUUGGGCAAUGGGCGAAAGCCUGACCCAGCAACGCCGCGUGAAGGAAGAAGGCUCUCGGGUUGUAAACUUCUUUGACGAGGGACGAAAUAAAUGACGGUACCUCGAAAACAAGCCACGGCUAACUACGUGCCAGCAGCCGCGGUAAUACGUAGGUGGCGAGCGUUGUCCGGAUUUACUGGGUGUAAAGGGCGCGUAGGCGGGUAGCCAAGUCAGAUGUGAAAUAUCCCGGCUUAACCGGGGGGCUGCAUUUGAAACUGGUUAUCUUGAGUGAUGGAGAGGCAGGCGGAAUUCCCGGUGUAGCGGUGAAAUGCGUAGAUAUCAGGAGGAACACCAGUGGCGAAGGCGGCCUGCUGGACAUUAACUGACGCUGAUGCGCGAAAGCGUGGGGAGCAAACA
rnacentral:rRNA from 1 species